rnacentral:pre_miRNA from 1 species
ACAACAACAUUCAAUCCGUCGGUCUACCGAGCAAUAUCACCAGCUCGAUGGAAGAUCUUCCCUUUGUCGUAUAUC